rnacentral:rRNA from 1 species
AACGAACGCUGGCGGCAUGCCUAACACAUGCCAGUCGAACGAUGCCUUCGGGCAUAGUGGCGCACGGGUGCGUAACGCGUGGGAAUCUGCCCUUGGCUUCGGAAUAACAGUUAGAAAUGACUGCUAAUACCGGAUGAUGUCCCCCUGAGAGAUCUUGGGGACCAAAGAUUUAUCGGCCAGGGAUGAGCCCGCGUAGGAUUAGGUAGUUGGUGGGGUAAAGGCCUACCAAGCCGACGAUCCUUAGCUGGUCUGAGAGGAUGAUCAGCCACACUGGGACUGAGCCCCGGCCCAAACUCCUCGGGAAGGCGGAAUUGGGGAAAUUUGGCCAUUGGGGGAACCCUGAUCCAGCAAUGCCGCGUGAGUGAUGAAGGCCUUAGGGUUGUAAAGCUCUUUUACCAGGGAUGAUAAUGACAGUACCUGGAGAAUAAGCUCCGGCUAACUCCGUG